GGCCGGCAGUGACCGCCCCGGCCCCGCUCCUGCCUGCUCGCCAUGCCUGCCCCCGCCCGCCUCUCGCCGAGCACGGCGCCGGGGAAGGGCGAGGGGAGCCGCCGCCCUGUCACUCCCUGAGCCAGCCGCUGCCUCGCCGGAGAAGCCCCGUGUCUGACGGGCACGGCGCAGCUCCGCUGCUCGCUGCGCCGGGAGCGCCGCGGGCACCUGGCACCUCCCCACAGCUUUUUAAUCAGAUUAUAAAAAGUGUGCUGUUGGAAUCUAAUCCUGUGAAGUAUGGACUAAGCAAGCCCUGCUCUGACAAAGGACUGAAAAGUUUGCUCACUCUCAAGCAGGAAGAAGUUAGAUUACAGAAAACGGACCAAAAAAAAAUAACGAACCCAAGGAAGAAAGCAGGAGAGGGAGAAGGGAAGGGAGAAGAAAGAGCAAAACACAGAAUGGAAAUAUUGAAGAUAGAAAAAAUAAUGAAGGCAGAAAAAGGAUGAGUAAGUUGCAUUUCUAAAGAGAAAUUAUACCACAUCCAAUGUUAUAAAUGGAAAGAAACUUGAAUAAUGGAGAUAAGAAUAAAAU
rnacentral:lncRNA from 1 species